AAGACUAAUACCCAAUGAGUCCCAUUAGAAGACAUCUGAAGUGGAUUAAAGAUUUUAUCGGUGAUGGAUGGGGAUGCGUCUGAUUAGCUUGUUGGCGGGGUAACGGCCCACCAAGGCGACGAUCAGUAGGGGUUCUGAGAGGAAGGUCCCCCACAUUGGAACUGAGACACGGUCCAAACUCCUACGGGAGGCAGCAGUGAGGAAUAUUGGUCAAUGGGCGAGAGCCUGAACCAGCCAAGUAGCGUGCAGGAUGACGGCCCUAUGGGUUGUAAACUGCUUUUAUAAGGGAAUAAAGUGGAGGUCGUGACCUCUUUUGCAUGUACCUUAUGAAUAAGGACCGGCUAAUUCCGUG
rnacentral:rRNA from 1 species